CCUACGGGGGGCAGCAGUGAGGAAUAUUGGUCAAUGGACGAGAGUCUGAACCAGCCAAGUAGCGUGAAGGAUGACUGCCCUAUGGGUUGUAAACUUCUUUUAUAAAGGAAUAAAACGAGGCACGUGUGCCUUUUUGCAUGUACUUUAUGAAUAAGGAUCGGCUAACUCCGUGCCAGCAGCCGCGGUAAUACGGAGGAUCCGAGCGUUAUCCGGAUUUGUUGGGUUUAAAGGGAGCGGAGAUGGGUUGUUAAGUCAGUUGUGAAAGUUUGCGGCUCAACCGUAAAAUUGCAAUUGAUACUGGCAGUCUUGAGUACAGUUGAGGUAGGCGGAAUUCGUGGUGUAGCGGUGAAAUGCUUAGAUAUCACGAAGAACCCCGAUUGCGAAGGCAGCUUACUAAACUGUGACUGACAUUGAUGCUCGAAAGUGUGGGUAUCAAACAGGAUUAGAUACCCGAGUAGUC
rnacentral:rRNA from 1 species